UACGGAGGGUGCAAGCGUUAUCCGGAUUCACUGGGUUUAAAGGGUGCGUAGGAGGACAGGUAAGUCAGUGGUGAAAUCUCCGAGCUUAACUUGGAAACUGCCGUUGAUACUAUCUGCCUUGAAUAUUGUGGAGGUGAGCGGAAUAUGUCAUGUAGCGGUGAAAUGCUUAGAUAUGACAUAGAACACCAAUUGCGAAGGCAGCUUACUACGGAUUGAUUGACACUGAGGCACGAAAGCGUGGGGAUCAAACAGG
rnacentral:rRNA from 1 species